GACGAACCGUGCGACCGUUAUUCGGAAUCACUGGGCUUAAAGCGCGUGUAGGCGGGCCGCCGCGUCGGCUGCUGAAAUCCCCCGGCUCAACCGGGGAACGGGCACCGAUACGGGCGGCCUCGAGGGGGGUAGGGGGGUCUGGAACUUCCGGUGGAGCGGUGAAAUGCGUUGAGAUCGGAAGGAACGCCCGUGGCGAAAGCGAGGCCCUGGACCCUUUCUGACGCUGAGACGCGAAAGCCAGGGGAGCGAACGGG
rnacentral:rRNA from 1 species